rnacentral:rRNA from 1 species
GACGAACGCUGGCGGCGUGCUUAACACAUGCAAGUCGAACGAUGAACCAGGGCUUGCCCUGGGGAUUAGUGGCGAACGGGUGAGUAACACGUGGGCAACCUGCCCCAGACACCGGGAUAACCUCUCGAAAGAGUGGCUAAUACCGGAUACGACCACUUUGGGCAUCCAACGGUGGUGGAAAGGAUUCUGGUCUGGGAGGGGCCCGCGGCCUAUCAGCUUGUUGGUGGGGUAAUGGCCUACCAAGGCGACGACGGGUAGCCGGCCUGAGAGGGAGACCGGCCACACGCGGACUGAGCCACGGCACAGACUCCUAUGGGAGGCAGCAGUGGGGAAUAGUGCGCAAUGGGCGAAAGCCUGACGCAGCGACGCCGCGUGAGGGACGAAGGUCUUCGGAUUGUAAACCUCUUUCAGCAGGGACGAAGCGAAAGUGACUGUACCUGCAGAAGAAGCACCGGCUAACUACGUGCCAGCCGCCGCAGUAACAC